CAGGAUUUGCUGUCUUAAAAAUCAGCAUUUACCAGGUUCUCCUGGACCAAAACCCUUAUCUAAUCAUCUGGUUCUCAUCAGCCCAUCUAAAUGGCAAUAAUGACCUGUGGAUAUGUACAUUCUGUGCAGAGUCUCCUCCUUCAGAGAGUAGCAUCUCCGACGUGGUCUCUUCCCCUUUCUCUCUGUGAAGAGGUAACACAGCAUGCACCAUAAGCUCUCUUCUGGGGCAAUCUGGACCCCACUGCUGGUCCGGAAGGGCCGUAGAGCACAGGAGCCUGGCUCAGAGAGAGGGUGUAGGGGUGGGGGAGGAGGCAGUUACGAGAGGUGCACAUUCCUCACCUGGGCCUGAAAUUUUUAAAACCCCGCACACCACCACGAGGAACUCUCGCAGACAGCUACACUUAUGUGAGGAGCCAUAGUGUAUUCUGUUUUGGGGUCUUUAAAAUGAAAGAACAUUAUCAGGUCUACUGGGGUUUUAAGUCAUUUUCUUAUUGCCAGUACUGAUCAGGAAGAUACGAAAAGGAGAAAAACAAAAGAAAAAGUGGAGGAAUGCAUAACAUGUAGCCAUUUUUGUAUAAAGCAAAGUAAAACUGUGAAAUUGAAUCCAGCUAACUGAUCCUGAUCCUACUGUGGAGGAUCUGCACUGACCAUUACUGCAUAUAUGUGAAACUGAAAUGGGUUACCCC